rnacentral:rRNA from 1 species
GGGUGUGAUCAUACCAGCACUAAUGCACCGGAUCCCAUCAGAACUCCGAAGUUAAACGUGCUUGGGCGAGAGUAGUACUAAGAUGGGUUACCUCUUGGGAAGUCCUCGUGUUGCACCUC